UACGUAGGGGGCAAGCGUUGUCCGGAUUUAUUGGGCGUAAAGAGCGUGUAGGCGGCCGUACAGGUCAGCUGUGAAAACUCGAGGCUUAACCUCGAGAUGUCGGUGGAAACCAUCUGGCUAGAGUCCGGAAGAGGAGAGUGGAAUUCCUGGUGUAGCGGUGAAAUGCGCAGAUAUCAGGAAGAACACCCGUGGCGAAGGCGGCUCUCUGGGACGGUACUGACGCUGAGACGCGAAAGCGUGGGGAGCGAACAGG
rnacentral:rRNA from 1 species